UGUAUUUUCAGUGGUCUGGCUGCUGGUUCCAGCUGGGAAAAAGAAAGAAAAUGACAACAAAUGUGACUGAAUGAAAUGUACCUACAGUGCUUCACCAAGCUUAAAUUUAAACCUCAUUUUGCGACAUUUUGAUUUUGCGACAACUGCGAAUAAAAGUAUUGGUGCAUGGGCGUAACCACCAUCUCAGAAGUGAGGAAGACAAAUUUUUCAGAGCGAUUUAUCAUUCUCUUACAUUUAAUUGCACCGUCCUUAGUGGCUAAAGAACCACAUAAUCCCUAACAGCCACAGUACAAUACCAGGGGACCAACUAGGCUAGUUCUUUAAACUAUAAAGUAUAAAACUUUAAACUAUAAAAUCUAAAGUUUUAGUGGCCAAACUCUAGUUGAGUUGACAACAAUGUCCCUUGAACAUCUACUGGACGAGUAGCCAAAGGUGCCAAACACUGAACAUGAAAUGAUCAGUACUGCCUGGUUUCUCCCUGCAAUAGAUAUCUUAUUCUCAGGAAGUUAUAAUCUCUCCUUACCUGUAAAGACCCAACAUCCUUGUCCCUGCUGCUGGCCUCUGAUCCAUCUCCUCCCUGACUCUGCUCUUUCUGUUAUGGCAAUAAACAUAAAAAAUGUGGUAAGAAAAAUUCUGAAAUAGCAUUAGGAAGAGUAAAAAUUGCAGUAGAAUUUAACCUCAAAAUCACUUUAACCCAUAGAUACAUAUUUUUUUCUCAGCCACUUAUAUAUAUAUUUUUUUUCACCUCUGCAGACCCUGCAUGGUCAACAUUACUGCUGGCCGCCGCCUCUGGUCCAUCUCCUGCCUGACUCUGCUCUUUGUUAUGGAAAUAAUCAUUAAAAAAUCUGAAAAUCAAAAUUCUGAGAUAGAAUUUGAAAGAGACGCAGUAAAAAUAGUUGUAAAUUUAACCACUUUUAGACCAUAGAUAGCCUAUUCUUUUUUUCCUCCCUGACUCUCCUCUUUUGGGACCAAAAGACUUAAAUACAUGGAGAGCAAUUGUGAGCACAUCUUCUGCCCAGAAAUGAAAGAGGACUGGGUUUAUUCCAAGAAUAAACUAAUUAGCAAGUAAUGUAACAGAGGCAACCACAAUUGAAUUAUUGUUAACAAGCUUAACAUAUUGAUAUAUUGCCAUGUUUUACCUUGUCAUCAUUUAGCUAACAAGUCUAACAUUGUUUGCAUCCAACAAGGUCACACAACUUACACGGUUUGUUUGGAAAAAACUGUGUAAAGUUUUUUGCUUCUUGCUGGCUCUGGCUGCUUUGCUAAACAUUACUCCAGACGCACGUUCAGCACUGCUCAGCACAGCAGCACGUCUCCUGUGGAACACCUGCGUUAGCAUGCGCUCAUGGUGCAUUCAAAGACGGCUCGGGAAAACACAUUACUGGAUGCUAAUAACGGGUUUAGCUGUUGUAACGGCUGAAAAAAGUGCGGGGGACAGAAGGGACAGAUGUGGAAAGUGCGGGGGACAUGUCCCACGCGUACCCCGCGUCUGUUAUGCCCAUGCAUUAGUGUAAUAAAGGAUAACCUGCCGAUGCGUCUAUCAAAGCGCCAUACAGGCCAAUAUUUCUUCUAUUUGUCCAAUGUCCACUUGCACGUGGUGGCCUCGUUAUAUUGGCUAGCGUUAGCAUGGUGUUGCCCACGUACUUAAAAUUACGACUGGAGGAAAUAUGUUCAAGCGACUCAGAACGCUGACUCCUGUGAACGCACCUUUAGUAUAUUUGCCAUAAACAAAACAACACUUACCUGAGACACAAAAAAUGAAAACGGCUAAGGUGAAACGUUUUUAACACAAUGACAUUGAUAUGCUGCUGCUGCUUCUUCUUCUUCUUCGCGGACUUUCACGUACACACCGGAACCAAACAGCCAAUUCCUGGAUCUUGAGCAUGAACGUGACACAAGGGUAAGUGGAAAUCAUUCUGACUUCCGCGGGCCUGUAUCCCACAAGUUUACUCUGUUUACGGAAUCUCUCUUAAACCUAGUAACAGUACUUUUAAAGGUGUUUACAGAUUAACCGAGAGACAUUGUCCUACUUCCCGUUCCAAAGUGGACAAAGGAUACAGUUUAUUUUUUGAGAAGUUCAUCUACAGCUAUGAAGGUUAUUAGCUAACUAGCUUGAGAUCUUCUACGAUGUAAAUGUGGCGCUCAUAAAAUAGUGUGACCACAGUUAUGUGAUAAAAAUUUAGCAUAAUUACUAAGUUCAUUAUUUUGUUUAGUAUGUACAUGUAUGUUGAUAAUAAUUGGGUCUAAAUUAAUUGCCGUUGUACUACUAAAGCUGAAAGAAUGGCACUUCUGUGUAGGCAGCAGUGAGGCGGAACCUUUGUUUGUUCUGGUUGCACCUGGGACCGGUGUGAGGAGACACACCCCGUGCUCUCUUCAGAAGCAAUCUGGAGAGAAACGCGGUGCAGUGAGACUUCAUUGUUCCUGCUUUAUUCACCUGAUACAGGGCCCCUCCCUGAACCACCAUUAUUGUCUCUUGGUAAAGGACUGAAAAGGCUCAGACCGCAACCACUGAUAUCCUCAAUGCUGCAUGGCUUGUCUGAGCUCUCCAUGGUUGACUUCAGGUUCGGACCUGUGCCAAGAGGUUCACCCCUAUCAUACCAGUGUCUUCCAGUUGUAGCCGCACCCACAAGUCAUGUAUAACACCCAGAUGCACCCGUAUUCUCUGAACCGCCAUUAGAAGGCUCAACAUUCCCUACUGUUUUUCCAAACUUUGAGCCAAAUUUGCAACAUGUCCUCCAUCUAAUCAAGGAUAUAAGGUAGUCUACACGCUGUAAGAACCGCUGCAAAAUCUCACAAUGAUAAAGGUUAACUAACAGAGAGUCAUAACAAUAGAAUACAAUAUGCAUUUUCAUAGAUCAACCACUACACGUUCUGCAGUGUGUUGAUAACUCAUUGUCUUCAUGAAUGCAUUUUCUGCAUAGAUGGAAUUGUCCGGAUCACCGAAAACCUACACUGAUGUAUCUAUGCAUUCUCUAAAAUGAACCUCGGUGCCUUACUAAAAUGAACAGGUCUACGUAGCAAAAUGAACAGGGAAUUUACAACAACAUGUUUUAGACUUGUAACAAUCUCUCACUCCUGUGUUUUCUGUGUUUUUGGAGUUGCAAUAGCCAGACAUAAAAAGGAAAAACAACAAACAAAAGAGGUUAUUGUGUAGGCAACAGCUUUUCUUUACUUGUUAAGUUAUGACUGAGCAAACUGAAAGUUCAGUAUGCCAAAUCUCCAUUAGGAAGCACACAUACUUGUAAGCCUUAAACAUGUGAUGUGGUCAUUGAUCAAGCUGUAAUACAUUAAUGACAUUAAUUAAAAUGUAUUGUUUUUUCUACCGACAACAGCAAAACCGAAAGACGUCUCAACUAGAUCGUCGGCAAUAAGUUCCUCAUCAGAGGACGAAAGGAAGAAGAAGAAGAAGCCCAAGAAAAAGAAGAAGAAGAAGCAGAAAGCAAAAAAGAAAAGGUCUAAAAAGUAGAUUAUCUAUGUGAAUGAACAAAUAUUAUUUAUAGUUCUAAUUUUUAGUGGAGUUUGUGUGGCAUUUUUGUUUUGGGGAAUUGGGCACAAUUACGUUUUUGUGAAAUUUAGCAGUACUUUUGUAUAUAGUAGUUGAAUAUUAUUUAUAUAGUAGUUUAGCUUAUGUAGUACUUUCCUAUAGUUAGUUUAAAUAAAUAGAAUAUUUUUUUCUUAUAAGUAAGAGUUAUCAACAAUGCAUACUGUUUUUAUUAUUUUGCUCUGGUUUGUGAAUUGGUUAUUUUCAAAAUAAAUGUAUUUAAUAAUGGAAACAAUGUUACAGAAGCCUUUGUACUUACAGACAGGUCAUGGGUACUUAGAGUGUAAGUACUCGGUACCUGCAUAGGUAGGGAAGGUAGUUACAGGCAAAGUACUCAAUAGUUGCACAGUAAGUGAAGCCAACAAGUGUUCACUUCAUAAUACGGCCCGGUUCCCAGUUGUUGACCAGUAGUUGCAGGUAAAGUACUGGGUUGUUGCAGUGGAAGUACUGGAUAGUUAGACAGUAAGGAAAGACAAGGGUGAUCUUAAGGGAUGGGUAACUUUAAAAGGUGAAUUGGUGUCUCUGAAAAAUAAAGAUAUUAAAUAAAUAAAGAUGUUUUGUA